rnacentral:lncRNA from 1 species
CUUGUAUUUCGCUUCUCUUAAAAGGAGAUAGAGGGGAAAUUAAAAGAGCCAAAUGCUGUGUCUUAGGAGAUACACCAUGUAUUCGGAGAAUGCCAUCUUAUGGUCUCAAUAACUUACCUUUUAAUUGGGAAGACAGACAAAAACAGAGGAAGAGGAAGAGAAAGGAGGAAAGAAGGAAGAAAGGAAGGGAGGAAGGAAGGAAGGAAGAGAGGAAGGAAGAAAAGGAGGAAGAGAGGAAGGAAGGAAGGAAAGUACUCUUCCAGAUACAUAAGAAGCAUUUUAAUUGUUUUCUGAAGAUUGCCCAAGAAGUCACACAUUUCUCAU